ACUCAACUGGGACUGAGCCGAUCCAUUCGAACUGAGCUGGCUCAGUCUAGCACUGAGUCGACUCACUUUCUGUCUCAUGCCAAAACUUCGAUACACCUGUCUUUCUGGCAUGCUCUGUGAUUUGGUCGAUCCAUUCCCAGAUUGGGUCGACCCAAUACCCUGAGACUGUUUUUCUACCACAGUCUUCAGCUCUCCUUUGGUAUCUCGCUCUACCUUGUAUCUCCAGAUAUCCAAAGCUCCAACCAAGCCCCUCGAAGUCCUCGCCGUCUGAACCUCGAGCCCGU
rnacentral:lncRNA from 1 species